rfam:Oryza glaberrima chromosome 7 Oglab07_0043_1, whole genome shotgun sequence.
UUUAAGUGUAGUUGUGGGUUUCAGUGUCCAAAGUUUGAUCGUCCGUCUUAUUUGAAUUUUAUAUAAUUAAUAUUUUUAUUGUUAUUAGAUGAUAAAAUAUGAAUAGUACUUUGUGCGUGACUUACUUUUCUAUUUUUUUCAUAAAUUGUUUAAAUAAGACGACGAUCAAACGUUUAACACGGAAACUCAUGACUGCACUUAAA